CCACCCACCUUGGCCUCCCAAAGUGCUGGGAUUACAGGCGUGAGCCACCGUGCCCGGCCCAAUAUUAACUUUCACCUGAAAGGUGUCAGCAGCCUUUUCGACCAGCUGAACACCAUAAUCCUCUUUAAGUGGCUGAAUGGUCACACCUCUUCCAUUGACAAGCUGGGUUAAGUCAAUAGGUUGAGUAGGAUCAACACGACCCAAAUCAGUAAGAUAUUACAGUCUGUUGAUACUUAAAGGUUGAUACUGGUGUCUGAAGCUAGGUCCUUCAUUAAAUCUGUAUUUUGGGAUUCCGAUGUAAAAUAGAGUCUGGCCAUCCUCAAAGCCCAGCAGAGCCAGUUUCCUCUCUGCCUGUCUCUUUUAUGGCCUCUGCCGCAUUUUCUACUUCUUCUCCGACCUUUUGGUCGUUUCAUGGGUUUCCUGGAGCCAGGAUUCGGCUUUAAAUUGGCCAGGCUCAUGCGCAGCAGGGCCCAGAGCUGCCAUAACCUGCGAAAAGAGUUUUAUUUCUUCCUUUCUGACCUGUAUGUCUUUUGUUUCCUAAUUGCAUAGCCUAGAUCCUCCAUCUGGUACAAUGUUGAAUAGGAGUGGGCUGGCCCUACGCCCCGGGCUUCACCCAACACUGGGCGCAGGCGGGAAGCCCGAAAGGCUGGGUCAGAAGCCCAAGCGAGGGCCCAGGUGGGGCGAAACAGGCGCAGCCAAGGGGCUGGCACCUUGGCCCCCCGCCGUGGAUUCAAAGGGUCAGGCUCCGCCCCCUCCAAGCCCCGAGCCCACUUUGAUGUGCUGAUGCGGCCUGGAAGGGGCCACUUCACACCUCGGGCUCGGCAUAAAGCGGCCGCCGACCGCCGGCCCCCAGACGCGCCGCCGCUGCCAUGGCCCAGCCCCUGUGCCCGCCGCUCUCCGCGUCCUGGAUGCUCUCCGCGGCCUGGGGCCCAACUCGGCGGCCGCCGCCCUCCGACAAGGACUGCGGCCGCUCCCUCGUCUCGUCCCCAGACUCAUGGGGCAGCACCCCAGCCGACAGCCCUGUGCGGAGCCCCGCGCGCCCCGGCGCCCGCCGGGACCCCCGCGCACCCACCGUAGGUAGGCGCGGCGCGCGCAGCAGCCGCCUGGGCAGCGGGCAGAGGCAGAGCGCCAGUGAGCGGGAGAAACUGCGCAUGCGCACGCUGGCCCGAGCCCUGCACGAGCUGCGCCGCUUUCUACCGCCGUCCGUGGCGCCCGCCGGCCAGAGCCUGACCAAGAUCGAGACGCUGCGCCUGGCUAUCCGCUACAUCGGCCACCUGUCGGCCGUGCUAGGCCUCAGCGAGGAGAGUCUCCAGCGCCAACGCCGGCAGCGCGGGGACGCGGGGUCCCCUCGGGGCUGCCCGCUGUGCCCCGACGGCUGCCCCGCGCAGGUGCAGACACGGACGCAGGCGGAGGGGCAGGGGCAGGGGCAGGGGCGCGGGCUGGGCCUGGUCUCCGCCGUCCGCACCGGGGCGUCCUGGGGAUCCCCGCCUGCCUGCCCCGGAGCCCGAGCCGCACCCGAGCCGCGCGACCCGCCUGCGCUCUUCGCCGAGGCGGCGUGCCCGGAAGGGCAGGCGAUGGAGCCAAGCCCACCGUCCCCGCUCCUUCCCGGCGACGUGCUGGCCCUGUUGGAGACCUGGAUGCCCCUCUCGCCUCUGGAGUGGCUGCCUGAGGACCCCAAGUGACAGCGGACAACUGACGCCGUCUCUGUGAGCACCGAGGCUUUUUGGCCUCAGCACCUUCGAAGUGGUUCCUUGGCAGACUGCCUUUCCUGGAAGAGGGCACGGGCGAUCCCGGCAGGGGCAUUCCUGCGGGUACCUAUUAUACUCAAGUAACCAUUUUACAGAAGGAUGAGGAUCAGCGCUCAAGCCCAGACAGAAGCUGAAGCACAGGGAGCGCGAGGAACUUCCCAUAAGGCUAGUAGUGUGCAGCCCCUGGGGACGGGCCAACUGUUGGUGAAGCCUGUCUUUGCAAGAGCCCUGGCAGCAAGAGAUUCAUGAGACCAUAUUUGUCUCCUCCGGAAGGUACCGAGAGCCUCGCAGCUACAACGCACUACAAAGCAGGAAGGACUUGAAUGCCCCUGUUAAGUGCAGGUAUGAACUAGGAAGCGGAGAGGAGCUAUGGUGCCACCUAGUGAUGUUUAGAAUUUUCCCAGGCAUGAACUUGGAUUAGCAGGGAGCCAUCAUCAUGGUCAUACCUACCAUUUACUAAGCAACCACUCUGUGCCUGGUACUUCCCGUGUAUCAUCCCACUUAAUACCUUAAGCCCCAAAAAAUCAGGCAUCAUUAAAAUGGUCAGAACACAGCCUGGCAUCUCACAGGUGCACAAUAUGUGUUUUUUGACUGAAUGAGGAAACUGAGCCUCUGAGAGGCUAAGUAACUCGCCCAAGGUCUCAUUGUAAGUGGUAGUGUCAGAAUCAAACUCAGGUCUGUUUGGCUCCAGACCUGCAUAUAUUAACGAUUCUACUUCAAUCCUCCCUGAGUAAAGAGUCUACACAGAGAAAGGGGGAAACAGUCGUGAAGGGACAUUAUGGUGACUGGAGAGAUCACAGAAUCUCAGAGGUCACAUUACAUACAUAGGAACAUCUAGGCCCUGGAAGGAAAGGAGCCUACCAGAACCACCUAGUUCUGUAGUGGCAGGCCCUGGAUGAGGAUCCAGGACUCCACUGAUGACCCCAAUCCACCCAAAAUCUGUAGUCAGAUCCCAAAAGGAAUCAUCAACAAGGAUUUGCAAAU